rnacentral:rRNA from 1 species
UGGGGAAUAUUGCACAAUGGGCGAAAGCCUGAUGCAGCGACGCCGCGUGAGGGAUGACGGCCUUCGGGUUGUAAACCUCUUUCAGCAGGGAAGAAGCGCAAGUGACGGUACCUGCAGAAGAAGCACCGGCUAACUACGUGCCAGCAGCCGCGGUAAUACGUAGGGUGCGAGCGUUGUCCGGAAUUAUUGGGCGUAAAGAGCUCGUAGGCGGCUUGUCGCGUCGGAUGUGAAAGCCCGGGGCUUAACUCCGGGUCUGCAUUCGAUACGGGCAGGCUAGAGUUCGGUAGGGGAGAUCGGAAUUCCUGGUGUAGCGGUGAAAUGCGCAGAUAUCAGGAGGAACACCGGUGGCGAAGGCGGAUCUCUGGGCCGAUACUGACGCUGAGGAGCGAAAGCGUGGGGAGCGAACAGGAUUAGAUACC